CUUUAUAUUAUUCCAUCACACGAUUCUCUUUCGCUGGAAACGGUGUUUCUUGAAUCCUCAGUUUGAUGUUUGGUUCUGUGGAUCCUCGUCAAGGAGAUUGAUCACCGGUUUUGGCGUUUCCUUUCGACACGGAUCGCAUAUAUGCUACCAACUUUGGGUGUGAUUAAGGCUUAUGAAUCCAAGAAAUAUUUUGGGCAUAUGUUCUCUGUUUUUCUUUUGGGAGGUGUCCACCAUCUUCUGCUAUUGGCGAAGGGUGCUCCCUUGGAUGGGGUUCAUGGAGGCCAAUGGCUUAGAUAGAACAACAAGAAGGGACUACAUAGCUCGAGAAGACAGUGAUGCAGAAUCACUAAAUGGUUUUGGUGAAUUUGAUCCAUGGACAGCUUGGGCCUAUAAGCCACGCACAAUUUCUUUACUACUCAUUGGCGCAUGUCUGUUAGUUUGGGCAAGCGGUGCACUUGAUCCUGAAAGAACAGAAUCUACUGAUGUUGUUACCUCAGUAAAGAGGGGCGUGUGGGCAAUGAUUGCAGUUUACCUAGCCUAUUCCUUGCUGCAAGCACCUUCAACGGUCCUUAUAAGGCCACACCCUGCCAUUUGGCGCUUGGUUCAUGGGAUGGCCGUGGUGUACCUUGCUGCCCUCACCUUUUUGCUUUUUCAGAAUCGUGAUGAUGCUCGGCGGUUCAUGAAAUUUCUCCAUCCCGAUCUAGGAGUUGAACUACCUGAAAGGUCUUAUGGAGCUGAUUGCCGUAUUUAUGUACCUGAGAAUCCUAAAAGCAGGUUUAACAAUGUUUAUGAGACAUUAUUUGAUGAGUUUGUACUUGCUCAUAUUCUUGGAUGGUGGGGGAAGGCAAUAAUGAUACGUAACCAGCCUCUUUUAUGGGUGUUGUCAGUAGGCUUCGAAUUGAUGGAGCUAACUUUUCGCCACAUGUUACCAAACUUUAAUGAGUGCUGGUGGGACAGUAUUGUUUUGGACAUCUUAAUCUGCAAUUGGUUUGGUAUCUGGGCAGGUAUGCGUACUGUUAGGUACUUCGAUGGAAAAACUUAUGAAUGGGUUGGCAUAAGCCGCCAGCCAAAUAUCAUUGGUGAAAAGAACAUUGGGCCAGUUUACACCUGCACGGUGGGACAAAGACGAAUGGCGUCCUCUGCUUGGGCCAUGGAGAUUCAUCCAAGUGCUGUUCCUUUGUGUUGUUUUUAUGACCGUGGAGCUCAACACCUUUUUUCUCAAGUUUUGUCUUUGGAUUCCACCUAGAAACCCUUUGGUUAUUUAUAGAUUGAUCCUGUGGUGGCUAAUUGCUAUACCAACUAUUCGUGAGUACAAUACCUACUUGCAAGACAGAAAACCUGUGAAGAAGGUCGGAGCAUUCUGUUGGCUUUCAUUAGCAAUAUGCAUUGUGGAACUUCUAAUCUGUGUCAAAUUUGGCCAUGGUCUCUUUCCCAAUCCAAUGCCUGCAUGGUUAAUAACAUUCUGGACAACAGUGGGCACAGCCUUGGUGAUUUUUCUUCUUGCAUGGUCUUGGCAGAUUCAUCUAACAGUGACGAAAAAGAGGUUAUGAUCAUCAUUUCGGAUUCUCUCUUCUAUUAAAUUAUUUUUCCUCUGUAAAUAUUCCUUACAUUUGUAAAUGGACCUAAUGCUUUAGACUGGAAAUCGGUCUGACUAUUAGAGGAUAUUUCUUUAUUUUUUUCCCCUUCUUAUUUACUAGGGCAAAUUAUGUGUUCGGUGCAAAUUCCUCCUCUGAUAUCAUUAUCUCGUUUUUCUUUU